rnacentral:rRNA from 1 species
AUUGAACGCUGGCGGCAGGCCUAACACAUGCAAGUCGAACGGUAACAGGAAGAAGCUUGCUUCUUUGCUGACGAGUGGCGGACGGGUGAGUAAUGUCUGGGAAACUGCCUGAUGGAGGGGGAUAACUAUUGGAAACGGUAGCUAAUACCGCAUAACGUCGCAAGACCAAAAAGGGGGACCUUCGGGCCUCUUGCCAUCGGAUGUGCCCAGAUGGGAUUAGCUAGUAGGUGGGGUAACGGCUCACCUAGGCGACGAUCCCUAGCUGGUCUGAGAGGAUGACCAGCCACACUGGAACUGAGACACGGUCCAGACUCCUACGGGAGGCAGCAGUGGGGAAUAUUGCACAAUGGGCGCAAGCCUGAUGCAGCCAUGCCGCGUGUAUGAAGAAGGCCUUCGGGUUGUAAAGUACUUUCAGCGGGGAGGAAGGGAGUAAAGUUAAUACCUUUGCUCAUUGACGUUACCCGCAGAAGAAGCACCGGCUAACUCCGUG